GAAGCGAGCCCUGAGAUGAGUCAUCCCUGACCCCUUGAGGGUCCUAAAGGGCCGUUGGAGACCACAACGUUGAUAGGUGGGGUGUGUAAGCGCAGUGAUGUGUUGAGCUAACCCAUACUAAUUACCCGUGAGGCUUAACCAUACAACACCCAAGAAGUGUUCU
rnacentral:rRNA from 1 species